GUGUUUGCUUCUGCUGCACAUAUACUAAAACUGGAAAGAUACGGAGAUUAGCAUGGCCCCUGCGCAAGGAUGACAUGCAAAUUCGUGAAGCGGGCCAUAUUUUU